GCUGGCAGCGUGGAUUAGGCAUGCAAGUCGAACGAGAAGUGACGAUUUCAAUCUUCGGAGAGAUUUCGUCAUGGAGAGUGGCGAAAGGGUGAGUAACGCGUGGGCAAUCUACCUCUAAGCGGGGAAUAACCUGGCGAAAGUCGGGCUAAUGCCGCAUAUGGACCUUCAGCGCAUGUUGAAGGCACCAAAGGCGGGGAUCUUCGGACCUGCCGCUUGGAGAGGAGCCCGCGUCCGAUUAGCUAGUUGGUGAGGUAACGGCCCACCAAGGCAACGAUCGGUAGCCGGCCUGAGAGGGUGACCGGCCACACUGGGACUGAGAUACUGCCCAGACUCCUACGGGAGGCUGCAGUCGAGGAUCAUUUGCAAUGCGCGAAAGCGUGACAAUGCGACGCUGCGUGGAGGACGACAGCCCUAGGGUUGUAAACUCCUGUCAUGUGGGAACAAUUCCGAACGGUUAAUAACCGGCUCGGUUGAUGGUACCACAAGAGGAAGCGACGGCUAACUUCGUGCCAGCAGCCGCGGUAAUACGAAGGUCGCUAGCGUUGUUCGGAUUUACUGGGCGUAAAGGGUGCGCAGGUGGUGCCGUGUGUCGGACGUGAAAUCCCGGGGCUCAACCCUGGAAGUGCAUCCGAAACUGCAAGACUAGAGUACAGGAGAGGAGAGCGGAAUUCUUGGUGUAGCGGUGAAAUGUGUUGAUAUCAAGAAGAACACCGGUGGCGAAGGCGGCUCUCUGGAAUGUUACUGACGCUGAGGCACGAAAGCUGGGGGAGCGAACAGGAUUAGAUACCCUGGUAGUCCCAGCCGUAAACGGUGUCGACUUGGUGUGGGGGGAAUUGACCCCCUCCGUGCCGGAGCUAACGCGUUAAGUCGACCGCCUGGGGAGUACGGCCGCAAGGCUAAAACUCAAAGAAAUUGACGGGGGCCCGCACAAGCGGAGGAGCAUGUGGCUUAAUUCGAUGCAACGCGAAGAACCUUACCAGGGCUUGACAUGUAGCUGCACGCCUCUCGAAAGGGAGGAAGCCUUAGAGGGUGCUACACAGGUGCUGCAUGGCUGUCGUCAGUUCGUGCCGUGAGGUGUUGGGUUAAGUCCCGCAACGAACGCAACCCCUGUGUUUAGUUGCUAGCGUGGGUGUUAAGCCUGCGCGCACUCUAGACAGACCGCCCGUGUAAGCGGGAGGAAGGUGGGGAUGACGUCAAGUCAGUAUGGCCCUUAUGCCCUGGGCUGCACACGUGCUACAAUGGCCGGUACAGUGGGAAGCAAGACCGCGAGGUGGAGCCAAUCCCCAAAACCGGCCUCAGUUCGGAUUGGAGUCUGCAAUUCGACUCCAUGAAGUUGGAUUCGCUAGUAAUGCCGUAUCAGCUACGACGGCGUGAAUACGUUCCCGGGCCUUGUACACACCGCCCGUCACAUCAUGAAGCCGUCUGCACCCGAAGUCG
rnacentral:rRNA from 1 species